CAAUAGCGUAUAUUAAAGUUGUUGCAGUUAAAAAGCUCGUAGUUGGACUUCUGAUGUGGAGGGACGGUCCGCCUCACGGUGAGCACUGAUUCUUCACGUCUUCCUCUCGUAGUCUUUUGGCGCACUUAGUUGGGUGCCUUUAGAAUAUGGGACCUUUACUUUGAAAAAAUUAGAGUGUUCAAAGCAGGCAAUCGCUUGAAUACAUUAGCAUGGAAUAAUAGAAUAGGACUUUGGUUCUAUUUUGUUGGUUUCUAGGACCGAAGUAAUGAUUAAUAGGGACAGUUGGGGGCAUUAGUAUUUAAUUGUCAGAGGUGAAAUUCUUGGAUUUAUGAAAGACUAACUACUGCGAAAGCAUUUGCCAAGGAUGUUUUCAUUAAUCAAGAACGAAAGUUAGGGGAUCGAAGACGAUCAGAU
rnacentral:rRNA from 1 species